ACUUUUUCUAAUAACGAAUAAAGCAUGAGGGAACGAUAGUUGGGUAUGAAAAUUAAGGUAGAAACCACUAUUUGUUGCACUUCACUCCAUUAUGGCCAUCUCAGUUUCACACACAAUGUUAAUAAAGAGUCAUCGAAGAUAGGGAUGAAAACGGAGCGGAAACGAACGAAACUCACUGAUACCAUAUUUGUUUUCAUAUUUUUUUGCAAAAGUAGAAACGAAUACAGAAACUCCGAAAAUGAAUAUGGAAACAUACACUAUUGGAAACAAACACGAAGCGAAUACAGAACGGACACGAAAACAGGGGCGUUGACCGAAACUUAAAACCCCCUUAAAUCAUAGAGAAAUACACACAAAAACAAACAAUUUAAUGAAUUGGCAACAUGGCUACAAAAUAAUAUGAUUAUGUUAGCAACUUAGCAUAGUAUUGCAGUAGUACUGGACAAUUGCGUGCAGGGUCUAGUUGAGUACGGGUGUGGUAGUAGAAGUUGGGUUUCAAAUGAUCUAUUCUGCUCAUUGUGUCAUUGUGUGUUGUUUGGUGGUUGGCCUACAAAGCAAUCAUAAGCAUGUAGUAAAACAGAAAUUAAACGGAAAGUUCCGUUUCCACGUCUGUUCCAUCGGAAAACACCGUUCCGUUUUUGUUUCUGUUUCCACAUAAAAAAUUCCAUUUUCAUUUUCGUUUUGCAAAUUACCGUUUCCAUUUUCAUAUUUCCUCUCAUUUUUAUUUUUCUUCUUGAAAAGCGGAAAGUUUCCACUCUGUUUUCAUCCCUAAUCGAAUAUUGAAUUCGACGUAUAGACAAACCUAACACAAAACACAACAUGAGCUAUUACUUCUAGUGGUUAACUAUGAAAAUAACACAUUUUAAUGGAUUAUAAAUACCUCUUGGUUCAAUCACAAAUAAGGUUGCUAAAAUAUGAACCUAAUUAAUAUCGACUGUCAAUUUAAAUCAUCAAACUACCGGCACAAAGAAGCAAUCGUUGAAAAAAAAAUGUAAGUUACUUCACAACCAAGGACCAUGACAUGAUUGUCAAAAAAUAAAACCUUAUUCUUAAUUUCUUUAUAUGAAAUUAACUGAAAUAUUGUACGACAUAGCGCCAAAAAUUGGCGAUGAGAGUGGCCAUUGUGAACUCAAUAGAUAAUAGAGUGGACAUGCAUAGAUAAAGCCAAUUCAAAUAAUAAUCAGUGUUGAUCAUUGGUUGGAUUUAGCUGUAAAUUAAGUCACAAAAUAUGACUAGUAAAAGAUAUUUUAGAAAAUCUUGUUCUCAAUUCUUUUGAUGAAAUUACACGAAUACUACUGCCAUAGAGCAAAAAAUUAGCCAUUACAGCAUGACCAUAUGUGAACAAAAUCAUUAGAAGAGUGGCUAUGUAUGGAUAAAAUCGACUCAAAUAAUCAUUGAUGGGAUCGGGUUAUAUGUUAAAUUACAACCAUGGAGCAAUGAUAAAAAUUUAAAGGUGACGGAUAGACACAAAAGCCACAUGUGUCAGACUAUGCAAGAAGAAACAUUUAACUAAUGUUUCAAAAAUAAUGUCAUGAUAAAAAUAUAUAUAGACUAAAAGUCGGCAAAAAGAAUCAAACAAACCCAAAGCAAACCCACCGAAAAACCAAAUAUGCACGUAGAUAUCUCGGUCAAGAGGACCUCACACCCGCCAAAAAAAAAGAGGACCUCACACCGCAAAGCGUGAACUGGGACCUCCUGUCAUGCAACACUGUCCCUGGUAGCCUGGUAGGCAUAUCAGCACCUCAAAAAAUAUAUUCGAGCUGGAGAGAAACUCCAAAGGUAAAAGAGAAGGAAAAACAGAAUCUCGUCCUCAUGCGCCGUAUACCCAACCCUAAAAACCUAGCGGCAACAUGGAAGGACCAGAGAGGCAUCUGGCCUAUAAUAAGGCCGGCGGUGCAGGCCUCCCUGGUGUGGCAUACAACCAGAUCGAGCGGUUGAAGAAGAAGACAAUAGGAUAGCCCUCCCAGAUCUGGCCGGCCGGACCGACUGGCGCCGUGCCGACGAGGCGACGACGAAGGCGUCUGUGUACAUGGGUUUGAUCUUUCUCUCUCCGCUUCCGCUCCUCUCUCUCUCUCUCUGCGUGUCGACCGUCUGCUGUGUCCGAUGGGAUCGGUCGGGGGCUGCGGUGGAGGGUUGAUGAUGGUGCGAAUGGCUGACAGAAGAGAGUGAGCACACAGCGGCAGACUACGUCUGGUAAAGAGGACGGAUGGAUGCGAAGAGAGAGAUAGACGCAGCUGCUGUUGCGUGCUCACCCUCUCUCUGUCAGCUCUCUCUCCGCCUUGGGACUUGUUCCGCCAUCAAUCAAUCUAUCCAUCCAUCUCCCCUUGCCGUUCCCAUCGCUUCGCAGCCAUCUUUGCCUGCAUCGACUGCCGAGAAGAGGCAGGAUGAGCUUUGUCUUGCUUGCUGUGUCCCCACCUCAGCCCUAUCUUGUCCGGAUUCCGACGGCCUAGCCUAGCCCCCUGCUAUUUGGAAUAAGGAUUAGCUAUCGCCUUGGGGAAGGGGGACGCGUGUUGAUUUGAUUAACGCAGGUGGUGUUAUUUUGCUCGACUCCCCAGGAGUGCUUAACGGAAAGCACUGUUUGACCAGUCCUUGCCAUGCCCUUCUCCCUCCUCCUCCUCAUCAUCUUCUUCCUCCUGUACUCCACCCCCUCUCUCUUUGUUGCUGCUUUAACUUUUUUUUCGAUGGAUCACGAAAUUUCCAUAGUUUUUCUCCCCCUUUUGCUUCCUUAUCUCAUGUGCUGCUGUGAGGCAGGCAGGAAGGAGGCAGCUAUGGCGGCGGCGGCAGAUCUACAAUACUUGGCUGCAAGUGGAAAGCCGGCACAUAGCCGAUGGCGACGGCGCCUCCCAGAUCUGUGGGAACGUUCGGUCAGUCCAUGUUUCUCCUUAAUUUGUGUCCCGAUAAAGUGGCCAUGCCUCCUCGUACAUGGCCUAUUAGUGGUAUGACCAUGUGAGUUGUUUGCUUUUUCUGUAUUAUUGUUCCUGAUGGUUUUGCCUCUAAUGGCGACUCUACAUCUCAUGGACUUGCCUGUGAUGUGAACUAGAAACGUAUAUCCUGCAGUUUAGCCUCUGCCGCUUUUUAUUCAGCCGUGUUUUGGUCUUUUAAUUCCUGGCUAUAUGGUCUCCAUGUAAGAAGCUGCAAACGAACAGCCAGCACAGUCAACCCCAUGGUCGUUUCUUUCAUUGUAUGCAUCGUAUGUAGAGCUUGGUUCACUUUUGAGGAGAUCUUCUUGGAGAUCCGUAAGAGUAUGGUUUCUGAUAAAUCUCCGCAGUUUCUUCUAGCUUCACAUAAAAUUGCUAUUUUAUUUUUCCUGGACAUCGAUUUUUUUCUUAGGUGAAUCAACAGUACUUAACUCUUGCCAACACUUUUAAAUUUGGCAUAUGUGUUCUUGUUUCUCACACAAGCUAUGCAACAUUGUCAACUUAUAGGCAUAUGUACUGGUGGUUUCUCAGCAAUUUAUUUCUCUUUGGCAUUAGACCCCUUCGGCUCUAACACCAACUUAAUGACGCAUAGAGUUGCUUAAUUUCUAGCAAGCAGCAAAAGAUAUCAUUUGUUUGGUUACCUGAUCAUGUAAUGGAUUGCCUGGUAGUAUAACAUAUUUGGUCACCUGAUCAUGUAAUGGAUCUUUUUAAUAGUAUGACUUAUUUUUGGAUAUAUUACAUGUGCAGAGAGCACAAGACUUUUCACCCUGGAAGUACUUUUCCUGGUAACGUUCAAUUGAGCUGCUUAUGAAUGGCCUAAAGUAAAAAUUUAUGUUGAGCGGAAGAAUGCUUCUGGGUUUUAUCUGUAAUGACAACUAGUUCUCUAUUGUACAUAGAACUAGUCUACUGCUGUUCUCCAUAAUUAACCCAUAAUGACCAUCUCUCAAUUCUGACUGUUCUUUUUUGACAUCCAUUACUAGAACAACAGAUGCAUGCUGCCUUCCAGGAGAUGAAGUGGCUGCAUGACGGCACACUUUCGUUUGCUACUUUCAGGGAAAAGUUGGAGCAGAACAGAAAUAAUUUACCCCCUAAACCAAGAAAUGUAUUUAAAAGGAGAAAGCUGUGCCGCCAAGCCUCAGAAACUUAUGCCGAAGAUGUAUUUCCCAUUUGGUGAAUCCAUGGUGCCACUUCUAUUUAUCUAUCAUGAGUUCCAGUUAGCCCUUUCUGGUGUUCGUGAUUUCUGGCUUCAUCAGGAAAUAUGGCAUGAACGGCAUGAUCUUUUCUUCCGUGCAAUUCAGGAGACUGUUGCAAGUGUUAUGGGAAGCAUCAUCCUUUUUCUCAUGUUCGUCAUCUCUUAAAAGCAUUGUAGUUUCCUCGUCGCGUCUUGUAAGCUUCAGAUUUUGUGCUCCAAUAUCUGCUGAUAUAUCCUCCAUCUCAACGAUGAAGUAUGCAGUUUAUCGUCUGGUUUGGUAAGCUAGCUUAAAGUCUGCUGUUUACUUUUGAGACUGGACUCGCGAUCUCUGUAACAGAUUGUCUUUCUGUACAAAAUAAAAAUUCACUGUAAAUUUUAA